GUGAGACCUUUGUAGGGAAGACGGGGGCAGAUUGGGCUUGUGUCUGGUAGAGACCGGGCCCAGGAGCUCCUCCUUGGCGGCUGGCAGGGAAACCGAGGCAAAGAGCCAGCACCUGGGAGGUCAUCCAAGGCCGGAUUUAAGAGCGCUGAACGUGACUCUUCGGGUAACGUUCUCUGAUCCUGGGGAUACAGCUAGAGAAUGAGACAGA
rnacentral:lncRNA from 1 species